rnacentral:rRNA from 1 species
UACGUAGGGGGCUAGCGUUGUCCGGAAUCAUUGGGCGUAAAGCGCGUGUAGGCGGUCCGGUAAGUCCGCUGUGAAAGUCGGGGGCUCAACCCUCGAAUGCCGGUGGAUACUGUCGGGCUAGAGUGCGGAAGAGGCGAGUGGAAUUCCUGGUGUAGCGGUGAAAUGCGCAGAUAUCAGGAGGAACACCGAUGGCGAAGGCGGGUCUCUGGGCCGAUACUGACGCUGAGGAGCGAAAGCGUGGGUAGCGAACAGG